rnacentral:rRNA from 1 species
AUUGAACGCUGGCGGAAUGCUUUACACAUGCAAGUCGAACGGCAGCACGGGGGCAACCCUGGUGGCGAGUGGCGAACGGGUGAGUAAUACAUCGGAACGUGCCCAGUCGUGGGGGAUAACGUAGCGAAAGUUACGCUAAUACCGCAUACGAUCUACGGAUGAAAGCGGGGGACCGUAAGGCCUCGCGCGAUUGGAGCGGCCGAUGUCAGAUUAGGUAGUUGGUGAGGUAAAGGCUCACCAAGCCGACGAUCUGUAGCUGGUCUGAGAGGACGACAGGCCACACUGGGACUGAGACACGGCCCAGACUCCUACGGGAGGCAGCAGUGGGGAAUUUUGGACAAUGGGCGCAAGCAUGAUCCAGCCAUUCCGCGUGCAGGACGAAGGCCUUCGGGUUGUAAACUGCUUUUGUACGGAACGAAAAGGCUCUGGUUAAUACCUGGGGCUCAUGACGGUACCGUAAGAAUAAGCACCGGCUAACUACGUGCCAGCCGCCGCGGUAA